UCUCUCUUCAACUCUUUCAAGUUCAAAAUCCUCUUGAAGAAGAAGAACAUGUCCUUCUGCUCGUUGCCUCGUUCUUGAUUCCGAAAGCAGAUAAUGAUGCGUGUCAAUGGAGAGAAGAGGUAUAGAGGCAAAAAGAAAACCUAUCGUUUGUUGGGUAAUUAAGAAAACCGCAGUGUACCUUACCUUCAGGCCUUUAUUAGUUUGACUUUUCUCUCAUACAGUCAUAUACCUUCAUUUACUCUUUUCCACUCUCCCACCUUCCUACUUAUUCCUUAACACUCGCAAGCCAGCCCUGUUCUCUGUGCUCCACUCCAUGGCCGAGAUUCUCCCACCUCCAAUCUCGCCCAUUCUCUUGCUUGCUCGUCUCUGCCAGUACUGUGAACUUAGAUUUGUGAAGAUGUACUGGGAAUGCAUGAGAAGAAGACGUAGAAAACGACACCAUUGCCAAAAUGGAGUUUGGAAUGGGAUGGUUAGGAAAGAUUUCAAGUAAGUUUACAAAUUAUUCUUUAACAAAAAAAUAGAAAUAAAUAUUUGUUUAAAUUGAAAAAAGUA